rnacentral:rRNA from 1 species
GACGAACGCUGGCGGCGUGCUUAACACAUGCCAGUCGAACGGUGAAGCGCCUUCCUUUUUGGUGGGUGUGGAUGAGUGGCGAACGGGUGAGUAACACGUGAGUAACCUGCCCCCUUCUUCUGGAUAACCGCAUGAAAGUGUGGCUAAUACGGGAUAUUCUGGGUCUGUCGCAUGAUGGGUCUGGGAAAGAUAUUGUUUCGGUGGGGGAUGGGCUCGCGGCCUAUCAGCUUGUUGGUGGGGUGAUGGCCUACCAAGGCGGUGACGGGUAGCCGGCCUGAGAGGGUGGACGGUCACACUGGGACUGAGACACGGCCCAGACUCCUACGGGAGGCAGCAGUGGGGAAUAUUGCACAAUGGGCGCAAGCCUGAUGCAGCGACGCCGCGUGAGGGAUGGAGGCCUUCGGGUUGUGAACCUCUUUCGCCAGUGAAGCAGGCCUGCCUCGUUUGUGGGUGGGUUGACGGUAGCUUGAUAAGAAGCGCCGGCUAACUACGUG